GUUGAAUUUGUGAUGAUGUUUGACCAGUGGAUCUUCCAUGAGAAGCAGAUGAUCCUCCAUGGCUACCACCACCACCACCACUACCACCGCCGCCGCCACCACCACCACCACCAAGACUUGAGCCACCAGAUAUUUACUAAUCAAAAAAAAAAAAAAGUUUGGAGUAACACGAUUGAGGAACACACGUGACUACUAUCAACGUUUGACUCGUGAAAAAGAAUAAAAAUAAAUUUCUAUCACCCGCAUUUACAACAUUUUUCCACGUGAAACGUUCCUGCGUGUAGGAAACUAACUGAACGAAUAAAAGGAAAGACGUGCGUGGCCGUCACAGUGCAAAUAUAUCGAUUAUCACUGGGUUGUGUCCUUCUUGCUCCCCCAGGGCCCACUUGCUAUUUCAGGGGAAAAAAAGGUAGGAGUGGGGGGAGAUAUUUUCAAAUAACACAGCACAAGGAUAAGAAAACACUGACCUCCUCAGUCUUGAUGACAAUUCGUUGAAAAGAGUAGUAUCCGGCAGCUCAUGAUCCACUGUUUUUUUUUUUUUUUGGAACUAGUUUCGAAUUUUUGAAAAAAGUAAAUGAAAUCAACAAUAACACGAACCGCCCUUCC